rnacentral:rRNA from 1 species
GAUGAACGCUGGCGGCGUGCCUAAUGCAUGCAAGUCGAGCGAACGGACGAGAAGCUUGCUUUUCUGAUGUUAGCGGCGGACGGGUGAGUAACACGUGGAUAACCUACCUAUAAGACUGGGAUAACUUCGGGAAACCGGAGCUAAUACCGGAUAAUAUUUUGAACCGCAUGGUUCAAAAGUGAAAGACGGUCUUGCUGUCACUUAUAGAUGGAUCCGCGCUGCAUUAGCUAGUUGGUAAGGUAACGGCUUACCAAGGCAACGAUGCAUAGCCGACCUGAGAGGGGGAUCGCCCACACUGAAACUAGGACACGGCCCGAACCCCUAGGGAGGCAGGCGGUGGGAAAUCUUCCGAAUGGGGGGAAGGCCGAACGAGGCAACGCGGGGGAGGUAAUAAGGGUCUCCGAUUGGAAAACUCUGUUAUUAGGGAAGAACAUAUGUGUAAGUAACUGUGCACAUCUUGACGGUACCUAAUCAGAAAGCCACGGCUAACUACGUG